GAUGAACGCUAGCGGCAGGCUUAAUACAUGCAAGUCGUGGGGCAGCACGGGUAGCAAUACCUGGUGGCGACCGGCAAACGGGUGCGGAACACGUACGCAACUUUCCUUCAAGUGGGGAAU
rnacentral:rRNA from 1 species